GACGAACGCUGGCGGCGUGCUUAACACAUGCAAGUCGAGCGGAGCGGCGAACGGGUGAAUGACGCAUGAGUAACUGGCCCCCUCUCUGGGAUAACAGUUGGAAACGGCUGCUAAUACCGGAUAGUGGGGGAUGUCUCUGGGCCUAUCGGCUUGUUGGGUGGGUAGUGGCAUACCACGGCGAGGACGGGUAGCCGGCCUGGGAGGUGGACCGGCCACCUUGGUCUACGGGAGGGACCAAUGGCCAACGGGGGGCAGCAGUGGGGAAUAUUGCACAGGGGGGGAACCCCUGAGGCAGCAACGCGCGGGCGGGAUGACGGCUUUCGGGUUGUAAACCGCUUUCAGCCAUGACGCGGUAGUGGCAGAAGAAGCACCGGCUAACUACGUGCCAGCAGCCGCGGUAAUAC
rnacentral:rRNA from 1 species